GGAUACUUGGCCGAGUGGUCGAAGGCGCACGCCUGGAAAGCGUGUAGGCGGUAAUACCGUCUCGAGGGUUCGAAUCCCUCAGUAUCCGCCA
rnacentral:tRNA from 1 species